AAAAAUAAAAAAAGGCGCAGAUAUAUACAUUUGAGCGGUGGCAGCUGAACCACGAGCGAUUCCAUACUCCACUCCAGAGUCGAAGCUCAGACCCACGGCCAUGGUCUCAUCACCAUGAUCAUGAUCAUCACCUACAGCUACCUACCUAUAUACUCUUCAUCUUCUUCUUCCGAAAUGGCUUCCUGUUCUCUGCACCUACCUACUUCUGCUUUUGAAUAUUCUACGACAACUACAAGGACAUGGAGGAGGAGUAAGACACCUCGUCCAUUUCAAAUCGUCUGCUCUUCUCUUCAAAACGGAGGAGAAAACCAGAACUUUCUUCCUCCUCCUGAUCGCGCCAAAUGUGGAGGAGGAGGAGUCGAAGAAGUGAUUUUGGUUGAAAGAUAUGGCAAUGGUACUGCUAAGAGGUUUGUUGUAGAUGAUGACUUACAGUUUCGAACUUUACUUGAGGAACAUAAACCCAUUUCUAAAAAGUCUCAGGAUUCACAGUUCUCCAACUCAGUUUUAUUUUGGGUUCCAGAUGUGGUUAAAGAUUUUAUCUUGCCUGCAGGCUUCCCAGGGUCAGUGUCAAAUGAUUAUUUGCAGUACAUGUUGUUACAGUUUCCUACCAAUGUUACUGGAUGGAUUUGUCAUGCAUUAGUCACAUCAAGUCUCCUAAAGGCUGUAGGAGUUGGCUCAUUCUCAGGAAGUGCUGCUGCAGCUUCUGCAGCUGCCAUCAGAUGGGUAUCAAAAGAUGGCAUUGGAGCUGUGGGGCGCCUAUUAAUAGGUGGGCGGUUUGGAAAUAUUUUUGAUGAUGAUCCAAAACAAUGGCGUUUAUAUGCUGACUUUAUUGGCAGUGCAGGAAGCAUUUUCGAUCUUAUGACGCCAUUGUAUCCUGCCUAUUUUUUGCCACUGGCAUCUCUUGGGAAUCUAACAAAGGCUGUUGCAAGAGGACUUCGAGAUCCUUCAUUCCGUGUGAUACAAAAUCAUUUUGCAAUCUCAGGAAAUCUGGGAGAGGUAGCAGCAAAGGAGGAAGUUUGGGAAGUAGCUGCGCAGCUGAUUGGUCUUGGUUUGGGCAUACUAUUCCUGGAUACACCUGGCCUUGUAAAAGCAUACCCUGUUUUGGCACUUACAUGGUUUGGUGUGAGGCUUCUUCACCUUUGGCUACGUUACCUAUCACUUUCAGUUCUGCAAUUCGACUCUAUAAAUCUCAAGCGUGCUCGCAUACUAGUAAAAUCACAUGUAUUACACUCUACUGUUCCAGGAUAUGUUGAUUGCAAUAGUGAAGAAAACAUAUUAUUGUGGCAAAGAUUCAUGAAGCCGCAAAUUGUUUUUGGUGUGCCUUUGGAGGAGCUUAUGGGUGGCGAGAGAUCUCUUACCAUGUUAAAGUCACUUCUGAAGCUAUAUGAGAAUGAGAAAUACAUUCUUGUGGUGAACAAACAAGAAAGUGACUUUGAGGUCUUUGUUACAUUCAAGGUUGGAGCAACCAAUAUCUCAGUCUUACGAAGCGUUUGGCAGGCUUAUUGGCUGCAUGAGAACUGGAACAGCCUAGAUAACACCUUGGAGCAGCUUGAGCGAAGCCUAUCGAUGUUGGAAAAGAGCUUCGGCGACUUCAUCCAACAACUGAAUCAGACUGGAUGGGAUACGAAUGAAAUGAAUCUUAAGGUUCCCAAGGAAAUCGCUGUCGAUGAAUUGGGUUCUGUAUGAUUGCUCAUGAAAUGGUGGUUGCUUGAUGAUACUGAUGUUAUAUUGGCAUUGGCAGUGUGAUUAUAGAGAAAGGGAAAGGGUAAAUCUGUCACUGAUCAGCCAUAAGUGCAAGGGCUUGGCGAUGCUUGUAUAUGUUCGAGCCACACUAGACCAAGCGGGUUGGGAUCUACUAGUGAUGUAUUUUGUAACUCUGAUUUUGCCGCUUAAGUCGGCUCGUGAAAAAGACUUGUAAUACUUUGUAAAAAUAUUUAUGGGAUCCCAGAACAUGUAACUUUUGGUUAUAAAGUUUAAAGUUGUUACAAAUUUAGUUUUCAUUCUGUUUCAAAUAAAGUUUAAAUUUUCCGCGCU